rnacentral:rRNA from 1 species
GACAGAGGGUGCAAACGUUGUUCGGAAUUACUGGGCGUAAAGCGCGUGUAGGCUGCCCCGCAAGUCGGAUGUGAAAGCCCUGGGCUCAACCCAGGAAGUGCAUUCGAAACUGCGGGGCUGGAGUCCUGGAGAGGAAGGCGGAAUUCUCGGUGGUAGAGGUGAAAUUCGUAGAUAUCGAGAGGAACACCGGUGGCGAAGGCGGCCUUCUGGACAG